AGAGUUUGAUCAUGGCUCAGGAUGAACGCUGGCGGCGUGGAUAAGGCAUGCAAGUCGAACGGUCUAGUAUGCUUGCAUACUAGAUAGUGGCAGACGAGUUAGUAAUACCCUAGUACUUACCCCAAAGUUGGGCAUAACUAAUCGAAGGAUUAGCUAAUACCCAAUGGUCUCGAAAGAGUAAAGCUCCGGUGCUUUGGGAGAGGCUUAGGUCCUAUCAGCUUGUUGGUGAGGUAAUGGCUCACCAAGGCUAUGACGGGUAGGGGGUGUGAGAGCACGGCCCCCAACGAUGGCACUGAGACACGGGCCAUACACCUACGGGUGGCAGCAGUCAAGAACCUUGGACAAUGGACGAAAGUCUGAUCCAGCGACGCCGCGUGCAGGAAGAAGUCCUUCGGGAUGUAAACUGCUUUUCACCGGGAAGAACUCUGACGGUACCGGUGGAAUAAGGGGCCGCUAACCUCGUGCCAGCAGCGGCGGUAAUACGAGGGCCCCGAGCGUUAUCCGGAAUUACUGGGCGUAAAGCGCGCGUAGUCGGCCUAGAUAGUCUGAUGUUAAAUCUCAGGGCUUAACCCUGAGACCGCAUCGGAAACGUUUAGGCUAGAGCGAGUAAGAGGUAGGCGGAACGUGCAGUGUAGCGGUGAAAUGCAUUGAUAUUGCACGGAACACCAAAAGCGAAGGCAGCCUACUGGUACUUUGCUGACGAUCAGGUGCGAAAGCGUGGGGAUCAAAAAGGAUUAGAUACCCUUGUAGUCCACGCCCUAAACUAUGCAGACUUGCUAUUGGGAGCAUCGACCCUCCCGGUGGCUAAGCUAACGCGUUAAGUCUGCCGCCUGGGAAGUACGGCCGCAAGGCUAAAACUCAAAUGAAUAGGCGGGAGCUCGCACAAGCGGUGGAUCAUGUGGUUCAAUUCGAUACUAAGCGAGGAACCUCACCAGGGCUUGAAACCCUAAUGACAGCCCUCCGAAAGGAAGGCCUUCUCACAAGGACAUUAGGGCAGGUGCUGCAUGGUUGUCGUCAGUUCGUUCCGUGAGGAGUUUCCUUAAGUGGAUAAACGAGCGCAACCCUUAUCGUGCGUUAUACGUGUCGUACGAGACUGCCUCGGUAACGGGGAGGAAGGCGAGGAUGACGUCAAAUCAGCAUGGCCCUUUGAUGCCCUGGGCUACACACAUGAUACAAUGGCUAAUACAAUGGGUCGCUAAGCCGCGAGGCGGAGCUAAUCCCAUCAAAGUUGGCCCCAGUUCGGAUUGGAGUCUGCAACUUGACUCCAUGAAGCCGGAAUCGCUAGUAAUCGCAGAUCAGAACGCUGCGGUGAAUACGUUCUCGAGCUUUGCACUCACCGCCCGUCACGUCAAGGAAGCCGGUAAUACCCGAAGUCCCUUUUCGAAGGGCCUACGGUAGGAUCGGUGACAGGGACGAAGUCGUAACAAGG
rnacentral:rRNA from 1 species